rnacentral:rRNA from 1 species
GCUAAUACCGCAUACGACCUACGGGUGAAAGCGGGGGACCGAAAGGCCUCGCGCUAUUGGAGCGGCCGAUGUCAGAUUAGGUUGUUGGUGGGGUAAAAGCCUACCAAGCCGACGAUCUGUAGCUGGUCUGAGAGGACGACCAGCCACACUGGGACUGAGACACGGCCCAGACUCCUACGGGAGGCAGCAGUGGGGAAUUUUGGACAAUGGGCGCAAGCCUGAUCCAGCCAUGCCGCGUGCGGGAAGAAGGCCUUCGGGUUGUAAACCGCUUUUUUCUGGGAAGAAACGCGCUGAGCUAAUAUCUUGGCGUAAUGACGGUACCUGAAGAAUAAGCACCGGCUAACUACGUGCCAGCAGCCGCUGUAAUACGUAGGGUGCAAGCGUUAAUCGGAAUUACUGGGCGUAAAGCGUGCGCAGGCG